GUUACGUCACUGCUCACGUGUAAAAUGGGAACCGUGCUGUACACACUGAGAGCUUGUUUUGAAAACUGGAGAGAAAUCACGUCAAGUCCAAGGCUCCAAGGAGGCCCUCGGGAAGAGCAAGCGGCAGCUAUUUUUUAUCAGCUUUCUGACACACCUCCGCAGCACAUCAGACACCCAAGACAAGCAGAGACUGGGCCUCAGGAGUCGGAGAAGGUGACUGACUCGGUGAAGGUGAGGAACCCGAGCCCCUUCAGAGAGGAGUGCAAGUCGUGGGUGCCGAAGAAGCCGGUGGGCUGCGCGGCGCCCUGGGCUCGUCUCCGCAGCCUUUGCCCCGGGAGAAGAGGGCAGAAAGCAGCAUUAAGACCCCGGCUCACACAGCCCAAACGCCGGGAGAGUCUUACGCUUAUCAGGGAAGGAUGUGUGUUAAAGUACAUUUGGAAACGCUGAGGCCACACCCCAUCGCCUCCCUCCUCAGUUCACUUUUUCUCUUUCCUAAGUCAGAAGCCAGUGUUUUCAGAAACCUGUUAUUUGCCAAGCAUUCUUGAAUUGCUGCUGUGGUUACAGACAUGGCUCUCUGCUGUUCGUCAACGAGCUCGUACUGAGCACAGCUAGUGCCCGGGGCCACCGGGCCACAUGGGCCGUUUAAUGACCACAAGCUGGGUGCUCUCCCUG
ensembl:lncRNA